rnacentral:rRNA from 1 species
AACGAUGGAAGCUUGCUUCCAAGCGUCGAGUGGCGGACGGGUGAGUAAUACUUAGGAAUCUGCCCAUUAGUGGGGGACAACAUUCGGAAACGGAUGCUAAUACCGCAUACGCCCUACGGGGGAAAGCGGGGGAUCUUCGGACCUCGCGCUAAUGGAUGAGCCUAAGUCGGAUUAGCUAGUUGGUGAGGUAAAGGCUCACCAAGGCGACGAUCCGUAGCUGGUCUGAGAGGACGAUCAGCCACACUGGGACUGAGACACGGCCCAGACUCCUACGGGAGGCAGCAGUGGGGAAUAUUGGACAAUGGGGGAAACCCUGAUCCAGCAAUGCCGCGUGUGUGAAGAAGGCCUGCGGGUUGUAAAGCACUUUCAGUAGAGAAGAAAAGCCUACGGUUAAUAACCGUGAGUCUUGACGUUACCUACAGAAGAAGCUCCGGCUAGCUCCGUGCCAGCAGCCGCGGUAAUACGGAGGGAGCGAGCGUUAAUCGGAAUUACUGGGCGUAAAGCGCGCGUAGGCGGCUUUGUAAGUCGGAUGUGAAAGCCCUGGGCUCAACCUGGGAAUUGCAUUCGAUACUGCAUGGCUAGAGUAUGGUAGAGGGAAGUGGAAUUUCCGGUGUAGCGGUGAAAUGCGUAGAUAUCGGAAGGAACACCAGUGGCGAAGGCGACUUCCUGGGCCAAUACUGACGCUGAGGUGCGAAAGCGUGGGGGGCAAACAGGAUUAGAUACCCUGGUAGUCCACGCCGUAAACGAUGAGAACUAGAUGUCGGGGGAAAUUGUCCUUCGGUGUCGCAGCUAACGCGUUAAGUUCUCCGCCUGGGGAGUACGCCGGCAACGGUAAAACUCAAAUGAAUUGACGG